GACGAACGCUGGCGGCGUGCUUAACACAUGCAAGUCGAACGGAAAGGCCCUGCUUUUGUGGGGUGCUCGAGUGGCGAACGGGUGAGUAACACGUGAGUAACCUGCCCUUGACUUUGGGAUAACUUCAGGAAACUGGGGCUAAUACCGGAUAGGAGCUCCUGCUGCAUGGUGGGGGUUGGAAAGUUUCGGCGGUUGGGGAUGGACUCGCGGCUUAUCAGCUUGUUGGUGGGGUAGUGGCUUACCAAGGCUUUGACGGGUAGCCGGCCUGAGAGGGUGACCGGCCACAUUGGGACUGAGGUACGGCCCAGACGCCUACGGGAGGCAGCAGUGGGGAAUAUUGCACAAUGGGCGGAAGCCUGAUGCAGCAACGCCGCGUGCGGGAUGACGGCCUUCGGGUUGUAAACCGCUUUCGCAUGUGACGAAGCGUGAGUGACGGUAAUGGGUAAAGAAGCACCGGCUAACUACGUG
rnacentral:rRNA from 1 species